rnacentral:rRNA from 1 species
GAUGAACGCUGGCGGCGUGCCUAAUACAUGCAAGUCGAGCGAACGGACGAGAAGCUUGCUUCUCUGAUGUUAGCGGAGGACGGGUGAGUAACACGUGGAUAACCUACUUAUCAGACUGGGAUAACUUCGGGAAACCGGCGCUAAUACCGGAUAAUAUUUUGAACCGCAUGGUUCAAAGGUAAAAGACGGUCUUGCUGUCACUUAUAGAUGGAUCCCGGCUGCAUUAGCUAGUUGGUAAGGUAACGGCCUACCAAGGCUACGAUGCCUAGCCGACCUGAGAGAGUGAUCGGCCACACGGGAACGGAGACGCGGUCCAGACGCCUACGGGAGGCAGCAGUAGGGAAUCUUCCGCAGUGGGCGAAAGCCUGACGGAGCAGCGCCGCGUGAGUGAUGAAGGUCUUCGGUUCGUAAAACUCUGUUAUUAGUGAUAAACAUAUGUGUAAGUAACUGUGCACAUCUUGACGGUACCUAGUCAGAAAGCCACGGCUAACUACGUG